AUUUGCUAAGACAUUGAACAGCUGUGUAUGCAGCAAGCUGGUCCUGGUUACCUUGCUGUGGCUACUCGAAUGCAUUUUCAGAGGUACAGCAACAGGUACAGUUUUAUUAUGCCAGGUGCCUUACAUCACUACUGCUUUGAUAGAUGCGAAGCGUGGCACGGAAGGGCGCAAGGAUUUUUUGAUUGGCUAUCAAGGAAACUUGUGGAUUAAGCAA